rnacentral:rRNA from 1 species
GGUGAACGCUGGCGGCGUGCCUAAUACAUGCAAGUCGAGCGAACGGACGAGAAGCUUGCUUCUCUGAUGUUAGCGGCGGACGGGUGAGUAACACGUGGAUAACCUACCUAUAAGACUGGGAUAACUUCGGGAAACCGGAGCUAAUACCGGCUAAUAUUUUGAACCGCAUGGUUCAAAAGUGAAAGACGGUCUUGCUGUCACUUAUAGAUGGAUCCGCUCUGCAUUAGCUAGUUGGUAAGGUAACGGCUUACCAAGGCAACGAUGCAUAGCCGACCUGAGAGGGUGAUCGGCCACACUGGAACUGAGACACGGUCCAGACUCCUACGGGAGGCAGCAGUAGGGAAUCUUCCGCAAUGGGCGAAAGCCUGACGGAGCAACGCCGCGUGAGUGAUGAAGGUCUUCGGAUCGUAAAACUCUGUUAUUAGGGAAGAACAUAUGUGUAAGUAACUGUGCACAUCUUGACGGUACCUAAUCAGAAAGCCACGGCUAACUACGUG